rnacentral:rRNA from 1 species
GAACGCUGGCGGCGUGCCUAAUACAUGCAAGUCGAGCGAACAGACGAGGAGCUUGCUCCUCUGACGUUAGCGGCGGACGGGUGAGUAACACGUGGAUAACCUACCUAUAAGACUGGGAUAACUUCGGGAAACCGGAGCUAAUACCGGAUAAUAUAUUGAACCGCAUGGUUCAAUAGUGAAAGACGGUUUUGCUGUCACUUAUAGAUGGAUCCGCGCCGCAUUAGCUAGUUGGUAAGGUAACGGCUUACCAAGGCAACGAUGCGUAGCCGACCUGAGAGGGUGAGAGGCCACACUGGAACUGAGACACGGUCCAGACUCCUACGGGAGGCAGCAGUAGGGAAUCUUCCGCAAUGGGCGAAAGCCUGACGGAGCAACGCCGCGUGAGUGAUGAAGGUCUUCGGAUCGUAAAACUCUGUUAUUAGGGAAGAACAAAUGUGUAAGUAACUAUGCACGUCUUGACGGUACCUAAUCAGAAAGCCACGGCUAACUACGUG